GCCUGUGUUGUUCAGUAGUUAGAGCAUCAGUCUGCGCACUGAAGGGUCCCAGGUUUGAUUCCCGGUCAAGGGCA
rfam:Myotis brandtii contig272424, whole genome shotgun sequence.